rnacentral:misc_RNA from 1 species
GAUGAAGAACGUAUCGAAAUGCGAUAAGUAAUGUGAAUUGCAGAAUUCCGUGAAUCAUCGAAUCUUUGAACGCACAUUGCGCCCCCUGGUAUUCCGGGGGGCAUGCCUGUCCGAGCGUCAUUGCAACCCUCAAGCGCGGCUUGUGUGUUGGGCUUCGUCCCCCCGUGGACGUGCCCGAAAGGCAGUGGCGGCGUCCCGAAUGGUGCCCGAGCGUAUGGGAACUCUCUUCCGCUCGAACCGGCCCAUUCGGCGCUGGUCGAACCCCAAUUUUUUUUUACCGGUUGACCUCGGAUCAGGUAGGGAUACCCGCUGAACUUAAGCAUAUCAAUAAGCGGAGGA